GACGAACGCUGGCGGCGUGCUUAACACAUGCAAGUCGAACGGAAAGGCCUUUUCGGCGGUACUCGAGUGGCGAACGGGUGAGUAACACGUGGGUGAUCUGCCCUGCACUCUGGGAUAAGCCUGGGAAACUGGGUCUAAUACCGGAUAGGACCGCACUUUAGUGUGUGUGGUGGAAAGUUUUUUCGGUGUAGGAUGAGCCCGCGGCCUAUCAGCUUGUUGGUGGGGUAAUGGCCUACCAAGGCGGCGACGGGUAGCCGGACUGAGAGGUUGGUCGGCCACAUUGGGACUGAGAUACGGCCCAGACGCCUACGGGAGGCAGCAGUGGGGAAUAUUGCACAAUGGGCGCAAGCCGGAUGCAGCGACGCCGCGUGGGGGAUGACGGCCUUCGGGUUGGAAACUCCUUUCGCCAGGGACGAAGCGUUUUGUGACGGUACCUGGAGAAGAAGCACCGGCUAACUACGUG
rnacentral:rRNA from 1 species